AGGGCUUGUGUGUUUCAAUGUUUUAACUACUAUUUUACGUUAAUCAUAAUAAAUGAAUAAUAAAACACAAAUUAUUAGUUAGCAAACAUUAUAAUUGUUCCUACAUGUAUAAUGCAAUGACAUAUUGUUAAAUUAUUACUGAAUUUAAACUUCUGCUUAAAGCUACGGGAGGUGGAAUCGUGAUCAUAUUCUUUUAGAUAAGUCAGUAAACGUCAUUGGUGAAUACUGCGCGCUGUCAUAAAAUCAAAAAAAUAUUUUUUAAAAUAUUACCCAGAUUCCAAACGUCACUUUAAAUUUCGUAUUUCAUAUUAUCAAAGUCGCAAUGGUCUAAUCACAAAUAGUAAUUAUGGCUUUGGCCAGGCGCGCCUUCUGCAGUUCCCCGCAUUGCAGCACAUCACAAAAAACAAUGCAAUUCGAGGUCACACAUUUUUCCAACUUUGUGCAUAUUCCUUACUAUGAUGUCCCCAAAGGUCAUGUUUGUACAUAUUCUCCAGACAAUACCAGCGAUACAGCAUUAUUAUUACCUCGACCUCGGGCUAGAAGAAAUCCUCUUGAUUGGGGCUCAGACGCAACAAUGUGCCGAAAAUUUAGAUCUCAAUCGAUGGAUCGAAUUCCACGAAAAUUGAAGACAAAAAAGAACCAUUGUUAUUCAUCUCGUUCCACAAACACAGAUACUGAUCCUUUCAUGUCAUGUCCUCCGCGCAAAUAUGACCAUAACCGCCAGUUAACUCAUUACAGACAAAAGAAAAAGCCGAUCAUGAAUGGCAUUUCUACCGUUUCUUGUUCUACAAACACUAUCAAUGAAGAAGAUGGAAUCAUGACAGAAAGUGCUCGAAGACUAUUUGAGAAAAAAUCAGGAAUGGGAGAUUCGAAGAGUUCUAGUUCAAUCGGCGAACAUGAGUAUUUACAAUUUCUGUUAAGAGUUACCGAAGAUAUAAUAAUAAACAAUUACAUUUUAAAUGAAGAUAUUGAUAGAGUAUUCAAUCAACAUAUCGAGAUGAAUAAACAUGUGUUAGAUGAGAAAAAAAUGAGAGAACACUUGAUAAAUUUGGCUUUAGACCUAAAUCUAUCUGGUGAUCAAGCCACUUCUCCUAAAGAUACUUCACUCCAAAUAUCGACUUCCGAAAUAAACAUACAAUACCUUAAUACAUCGUGCCAAUGCGAAACGCCAGUUAGUCCUGUAGAGAGUUUAUUUGGAGCUGUGAUAGAACAAGAGAAAGAGUCCAUUGAAAACAUAGAAGAAGAAGUUUAUUACAAACAUAGUUUAGGUAGGGUUACAGAGUGCACAGAACCGUCAAAUUCAUCAGCUACUAUAGUGGGUAAAACGACUAAUACAAAUGUUCUUAGUUUUAAUGAAAUUGAUAAUUUAAAUCAUGAUGCCAAAUCCGAAAUAGUUGGAAGUAACGAAGAGAUUGACAAAGUUUUUUUAGAUCUUCACUUUCAAGAACCACUAAGUGACAUCGCAUUAAGUGAUAAAAGUAGUCUAGAAGACAGUCUCAAUGAUAUACCUGAUGAAUCUGCCAAAACGUAUAGUAUCGAGAAAGUCAGAGUUAUCGGUAUUCCAGAUGAACUCAGGUACAAAAAUUAUCCUAUAAAAGUUGAUUGUGGUACAGAGACCGCCAUAGCAAACUUCCAAAUGGAUGUUACGGUUCAAGUCAAUUUACCGCCCAAUAAGGUUACAGAACAAUCGUGUCAAACUACUACUAGCAUAAUGCUAGAUAAACCAGAUUUGAUAACUAAAGGUACGCAGAGUACUUCCCUAGUCUGCAACAAAAAAUGUGAUACUGAAGAUCUAAACGAAUAUAUCGCAGAAACCACCCCGGAAAAGAAACAAGACCAGAGCACGAUUAUUCCAGAAGACGAAGUACUUUCUCUAACCAAUCGUAGUGAAGUGGAAGUGGAAGGGGGAAUGAAUACAUACUUAGAUCUAAAACUUAUGGGAGAUGAUUACGAUCUGACACCAGAAAGGGAUACAUCUGAAAAGUAUCAUUUUUUAAUGACAGACGCGUCUACUAGUAUGGUAAAAUCCCAAGUUGCUGUAGCAACUAAUGUCGGAAUAGACAGUUUACUUCUAGGAGAUGCUUAUGAUUUGCACGAGGAUUCAGCUCUACAGGUAAAAGUUUAGUUAAAUUAUCAAAUUAUAUGUUUUAGAUAUUUGAGAAUAGUACCAUAAUUUUUUUGUAAAAUGAGAUCAUAUUCUAAUAUCAUCAAUUGGCAAGUUAGUGAUAGAUACGACUUCUGAAGUAUAUUUUGAUAAUAUAUCGAUGUGAUACCGAAAUUGUCAAAAUAAACAAUUCAUUUAUGGCCUUACUUAUUGGCACUAGAUGGACAAAACUUAUAUUGAGCAUCAAAAUACUAAUACGGAGUAUCCGUGACAUAGAAGACUCCACCGCGUACUUACGCACUAAAAUUCCUUUUUACGAAGAUGACAUAUCAGCAAGUAUAAGCCAGUCUUGUAGUAUGACGGAAUCACCAGGUUGGAUUUCGGACAAACCUGGCUUACAGUAUCCAG